AUUGAACGCUGGCGGCAUGCUUUACACAUGCAAGUCGAACGGUAACAGGUUAAGCUGACGAGUGGCGAACGGGUGAGUAAUGCAUCGGAACGCGCCCGGUCGUGGGGGAUAACACUUCGAAAGAAGUGCUAAUACCGCAUACGAUCUGAGGAUGAAAGCGGGGGACCGUAAGGCCUCGCGCGAUCGGAGCGGCCGAUGUCAGAUUAGGUAGUUGGUGGGGUAAGGGCUCACCAAGCCGACGAUCUGUAGCUGGUCUGAGAGGACGACCAGCCACACUGGGACUGAGACACGGCCCAGACUCCGGCGGGAGGCAGCAGUGGGAAAUUUUGGACAAUGGGCGCAAGCCUGAUCCAGCAAUGCCGCGUGCAGGAAGAAGGCCUUCGGGUUGUAAACUGCUUUUGUACGGAGCGAAAAGGCUCUCUCUAAUACAGGGGGCUCAUGACGGUACCGUAAGAAUAAGCACCGGCUAACUACGUGCCAGCAGCCGCCGUAA
rnacentral:rRNA from 1 species